rnacentral:rRNA from 1 species
UACCAGCACCCCGAGUGGUCGGGACGAUUAUUGGGCCUAAAGCAUCCGUAGCCGGUUCUGCAAGUCUCCCGUUAAAUCCAACUGCUCAACAGGUGGGCUGCGGAGGAUACUACAGAGCUAGGAGGCAGGAGAGGCAAGCGGUACUCAGUGGGUAGGGGUAAAAUCCGUUGACCCAUUGAAGACCACCAGUGGCGAAGGCGGCUUGCCAGAAUGCGCUCGACGGUGAGGGAUGAAAGCUGGGGGAGCAAACCGG